CAGUAACGGCGAGUGAAGCGGCAACAGCUCAAAUUUGAAAUCUGGCCCCUCGGGCCCGAGUUGUAAUUUGCAGAGGAUGCUUUUGGCGAGGCGCCGCCCGAGUUCCCUGGAACGGGACGCCGCAGAGGGUGAGAGCCCCGUCUGGCUGGCCGCCGAGCCUCUGUAAAGCUCCUUCGACGAGUCGAGUAGUUUGGGAAUGCUGCUCAAAACGGGAGGUAUAUGUCUUCUAAAGCUAAAUAUUGGCCAGAGACCGAUAGCGCACAAGUAGAGUGAUCGAAAGAUGAAAAGCACCUUGAAAAGGGGGUUAAACAGUACGUGAAAUUGCUGAAAGGGAAGCGCUUGCGACCAGACUUGGGCCCCUCGGAUCACCCGGCGUUCUCGCCGGUGCACUCCGCGUGGGGCACAGGCCAGCAUCGGUUCGCGCCGGGGGACAAAGGCGGCGGGAACGUGGCUCCCCAGGGAGUGUUAUAGCCCGCCGCGCAAUGCCCUGGCGCGGACCGAGGACCGCGCGCUCACGCGCAAGGAUGCUGGCGUAAUGGUCGCCAGCGACCCGUCUUGAAACACGGACCAAGGAGUCGUCCUCGUAUGCGAGUGUUCGGGUGUCAAACCCCUACGCGUAAUGAAAGUGAACGCAGGUGAGAGCUUCGGCGCAUCAUCGACCGAUCCUGAUGUUCUCGGAUGGAUUUGAGUAAGAGCAUACGGGGCCGGACCCGAAAGAAGGUGAACUAUGCCUGUGUAGGGUGAAGCCAGAGGAAACUCUGGUGGAGGCUCGCAGCGGUUCUGACGUGCAAAUCGAUCGUCAAACAUGGGCAU
rnacentral:rRNA from 1 species